rnacentral:lncRNA from 1 species
UCUGCAAGUCGAGGCAGUAUGUUAAUAACUGUGAUGGUUGGGUUUGGGUUUGGGGAAGGUGUAGACAUUAAUAACUGUGAUGGGAAGGUGUAGACAUUAAUAAUUGUGAUGGUUGGGUUUAGGUUUGGGGAAGGUGUAGACAUUAAUAACUGUGAUAGUUGGGUUUAGGUUUGGGGAAGGUGUAGACAUUAAUAACUGUGAUGGUUGGGUUUAGGUUUAGGGAAGGUGUAGACAUUAAUAAAUGUGAUGGUUGGGUUUAGGUUUGGGGAAGGUGUAGACAUUAAUAACUGUGAUAGUUGGGGAAGGUGUAGACAUUAAUAACUGUGAUAGUUGGGUUUAGGUUUGGGGAAGGUGUAGACAUUAAUAACUGUGAUGGUUGGGUUUGGGGAAGGUGUAGACAUUAAUAACUGUGAUGGUUGGGUUUAGGUUUGGGGAAGGUGUAGACAUUAAUAACUGUGAUGGUUGGGUUUAGGUUUGGGGAAGGUGUAGACAUUAAUAACUGUGAUGGUUGGGUUUGGGUUUGGGGAAGGUGUAGACAUUAAUAACUGUGAUGGUUUGUGGAAGGUGUAGACAUUAAUAACUGUCAUGGUUGGGUUUAGGUUUAGGGAAGGUGUAGACAUUAUUAACUAUGAUGGUUGGGUUUAGGGAAGGUGUAGACAUUAAUAACUGUGAUGGUUGGGGAAGGUGUAGACAUUAAU